ensembl:lncRNA
UGCAGAAAAGUGCCAGUGGUCUUUUCACUGAGCGUUCGUGUCUGGUGCGUUCACUAGCUUCUACCACUCUCUCUCGCUCUCUCUCUCGCUCUCGCUCUCGCUCUCGCUCUCAUUGUUGUUUAGGGUGGAGGUUGAAACUGGAUUUAACUGACGCUUAAAGAAAAAGUAAUGUGAAAUAGAGUAGCAUAGCAGAGCAUGUGUUGUAUAUGUUUUUUAGAAAUCUCUGUAUGAAUAUAAAGAAUGGUCACUACACGGAACGAACAGAUGAAGUUGUGGAGUUGUAGAUGAAUCUGCAAGUUCAAAACUGAAUUGAAUAUUUCGCACAUACAGUAGAGAUUUUUUGCGGGCAACGGAAUUGGCCUAGUCUGCACCCUAAGCCUGACUCCAUAUUGCCAUCAGGUGUAGGCUGACUCCGGUAUGGACAUCGAACUGGUCAGCACCAUAGACAGACGUCCUACACCGGCAUGCGGAGGACCGCAGCACCCAGUCAGUCACUGCAGCCAGCUUGCUUCGGCGAGGACAUGCGGGCACCCCUCCUCUCCUCUGCAGUGUGCCACAGUGCUGGAUGAAGACUAUUGUUCUGGUGCCCUCGUCUUCCUCUGGCACCACACCUCACCCACCACACCAGCCCACUUCGUAAACAAGUAUAUGUGUGUGUGUGUGUGUGUGUGUGUGUGUGUGUGUGUGUGUGAAACUGGUGCAAGGUCAGUGUGAAAAUGCAGGACGGUUAUGAUGGAAGAUAUUUGCUUUAGUCACCGUGGGGGUUUGGCAUGGAAAUUUUGCUCCUUGUGUUGCUCAGCAUCUCUUGUCCAUAUGCAGUAGUGCAGUAGAGGAAUGUUGCUGAAGUUACAGGUUUCUUAAAGUGUCACUCCACUGAUAAUGACUGCACAUGCCGUUCCUCCCACACACACACCCCGUUCCUCUCGCUCACUGUCAGAAUCAUGGUAGUUGGUCUGCAGUGCCAGCACACGCCCCAGGAACGCCCAGAUUUUACCGCAGUACCAAAGUACCCUGAGCAGUCUCACACACACAAAUACACUCACUCCACCCACAAUAUAAUUAUGAGAACUAAUCAGCUUAAAGUCACACUCAGAUACAUUUGUAAAGAACGUGUUUUAGCCUGCCAUCCGGUUUAAUAGAUUUUUGGAUCGUUUGAUCUUUUGUUUAUAUUUUUCAGCGUUCACGCAGUCAUUGAAAACCUGGAAAUAUAAGAGAGUAAUAAAAGUGUGAUUUAUCUAGUAUAGUAUACACUGAAUAUAAUUAAAUACAUUUCUGUAGUGAAUAUAAAUUUGUCAAGUUUUGCCCUGGUCAGAAAUGUUUAAUUGACUUGAUACUGAGUGCUUAUAUAGAGUAAAACAAGACUCCAAGCCAGUGUGAAACAUUGAUCUGUAUAUUGAGGGAUUUAUACUAAAGUGUUGGUAACGGUUUAGUAUAGGGACCAAUUCUCACUAUUAACUAGUUGCUUAUUAGCAUGCCUAUUAUUAACAUAUUAGCUGUUUAUUAGUACUUAUGAAGCAUUUAUUGUAGAUGACCAUAUUCUACAUCCUUAAUCCUACCCAAUACCUAAACUUAACAACUACCUUACUAACUAUUAACAAGCAGCAAUUUAGGAGUUUGAGAAAAAAGUCGUAGUUAAUGGUUUGUUAAUAGCGAGAAUUGGACGUUAAAAUAAAGUGUGACCGGAAAGGCAUGUUCAUUUAAAUAGAUUCCGUCCAAUUUGAGAUCUGCCAAGCUAUCGCAAUAAAACGACGUCUAAAAAUCGUUGAAAUUCGUUGGUCAAAAACUACUUCUUCCAUUUUUUUUAAAACAUGAUGUUCUUGUUUUGUGUCUGGCCAUGUGUGCAUGUCUGUGUAUUUUGCAGUAAGAAGACACCGUUGUCCCUUUCUCACAGACGUUGUCCCACAUGGCCAUAUGUUCAAGGCUGGCAUAAAGCAUCCUACAUAUUUCUCUAUAGUCUGUCCAUCUGAGUGCUUCCACACAAACAGAAAAACAAACACAUACUAAUAAUGGUGGAUUACAGUCAGAUGUUAAAUGUGCAACAAAGAAGAAUAUGCUUGGACGAAAGUGAAAAAAUAUCAAGAAAGAGCAGAGAGAGAGAAGAAUAGCUCGACGGUUGAAGCUCAUUUGUCAUUUAAAAAGGGAAGCAUCAGGAAUGUGAGUAAAUAGCAUUUUUUUCCGCAAUGCGUGCCCGACUGCAGCUCACCCCCUCAGUCCAGCUGAUUUCUCUCAAAUAAACCAGCACAAUGGACCAACAGAGCAUUCGGCCACAGUCACAGCCGCUGAAUCGCUGGGAUUCUGUGCAUGAGGAUGUAUGUAGUCUAGAGGGAGAAUGUAUUUAUGUCAGUGUGCUACAUUUGAGGCGGAUUAAUCGCAUGUGGUGUAUUUAAAUUUUUCUUGUUCUUAAAUGCUCUUGUUUUCAAUCUCUGGAUCUUGCAUGUGCCCUCUCUCUUUCCCUCCCUCUCUCUCUGUCCUCAGAUGCCUUUCAGCCUACUUUCCUAUAACAGAAAACAGAGCAGAGUGGAGUCAGCAUUCACAGUCAGAGGCAGGCGCAAGCACCAGAUAAACGCCCCCUUUAAGUGUGUGUAUACUGUAUGUACAUGUGAGUGCAAUUUAACUAUGCUUUGUGUUUCUCUGUUUAUCUUUCUGUCAUUUUAAGUAAGAUGGCCUGGAUGGAAUCUGCAGACAGUUUUCACACUUUCAGUUGCUGUGUGAUUCUGUCUGAUGGAUUAAAACAUGGUAAAAUGUGGUAAAUUUAUCUAAAAAUACUCCAUUAGUAUUCUUGGUAUCUGAAUGAAUAAUCAUUAUUAGUGAAAGACAAACUUUGCAUUGCUGUGCAAAUGUGCAGAUUACACAUGGGCCUAGAAAUCACCAUUCUGUGUCUCGACAGAACUAUUUAUAUUUCAUUCUUAUGAAAGAUGUUUGGUUUCAUCUUCUGAUCUGUUUUUCUUUUUCCAACUUAUGUAUAUUUUUACGUCUGUCCUCUGUAUCGUUCCUCCUGCCUCUCACUCCAUUUCCCAGCCACAAGCACUGAGAAUAUUCCUUCCUUCUCUCUUUCUCUCUCUCUCUGUCGGUCUCUUUCUCUCUUUCUCCCUCUAUCUCCCCCCUUCCCAACCCUCUCUCUGUCAACUAAAGCCCUUUCAUAAUGAAUGGCAAGGUACGAUAAUAGCCUUUCGGUUGCUAUAGUAACCAGACAGGAGCUCUGUUCGUGCUGUAUUUUUUGUCCUUUUUUUUUCUUUUUUUCUCAAGGGGGCAAAUGA